AUGGCUGCCAAACAAAAGAAGCUUGAUGUGACACAAACUGAAGCACCAAGGCAGGAAGCACCUAGCAUUGUCUUCCCUGCCAGCAUGACAGGCUCAAAGCCUAAGGUCACCUCAACAGCUUUAGAGCUUAAGAAGACAAGGGCAGCUGAAGCCAAAGCCAAGAAGCGCAAGUACAAGGAUGCAUCUGAUGAUGCCCCUUCCAAGAAAAACCUGAAGACUAAGGGAACUAAGUCUUCAAAGAAAAGUCGGGUUGCUGCCCCUGAGCCCCUUGUUGUUGAACCCAUCUCUGUUGCGUAUGCUGCCUCUACAUAUCGCGAGCGCUGUCUCAUUGUCCAUGAGCCUGCUUCCACAGAGGUGCCAGUAUCUGAAGAAGUUCCAGCUGUUGACCCCAACACAGCUGAAGACAUUGGUCAUGAAGACAAUGUAGUUGAUGAUGAAGUCCUUUCUCAGCUCGAGCACUAG
rnacentral:rRNA from 1 species